rnacentral:rRNA from 1 species
UACGUAGGUGGCAAGCGUUGUCCGGAAUUAUUGGGCGUAAAGCGCGCGCAGGCGGUUCUUUUAGUCUGGUGUGAAAGCCCACGGCUCAACCGUGGAGGGUCAUUGGAAACUGGGGAACUUGAGUACAGAAGAGGAAAGCGGAAUUCCACGUGUAGCGGUGAAAUGCGUAGAGAUGUGGAGGAACACCAGUGGCGAAGGCGGCUUUCUGGUCUGUAACUGACGCUGAGGCGCGAAAGCGUGGGGAGCAAACAGG